GAGGAAUAUUGGUCAAUGGGCGCGAGCCUGAACCAGCCAAGUAGCGUGAAGGAUGACUGCCCUAUGGGUUGUAAACUUCUUUUAUAAGGGAAUAAAGUGAGGCACGUGUGCCUUAUUGUAUGUACCUUAGGAAUAAGCAUCGGCUAACUCCGUGCCAGCAGCCGCGGUAAUACGAAGGGUGCAAGCGUUACUCGGAAUUACUGGGCGUAAAGCGUGCGUAGGUGGUUGUUUAAGUCUGUCGUGAAAGCCCUGGGCUCAACCAGGGAAUUGCGAUGGAAACUGGGCGACUAGAGUGUGGCAGAGGGUAGUGGAAUUCCUGGUGUAGCAGUGAAAUGCGUAGAGAUCAGGAGGAACAUCCGUGGCGAAGGCGACUGCCUGGGCCAACACUGACACUGAGGCACGAAAGCGUGGGGAGCAAACA
rnacentral:rRNA from 1 species